rnacentral:rRNA from 1 species
UAUGUAGGGUGUUAGCGUUAAUCGGAAUUACUGGGCGUAAAGCGUGCGCAGGCGGUUAUAUAAGACAGAUGUGAAAUCACCGGGCUCAACCUGGGAACUGCAUUUGUGACUGUAUAGCUAGAGUACGGCAGAGGGGGAUGGAAUUCCGCGUGUAGCAGUGAAAUGCGUAGAUAUGCGGAGGAACACCGAUGGCGAAGGCAAUCCCCUGGGCCUGUACUGACGCUCAUGAACGAAGGCGUGGGGGGCAAACAGGAUUAGAUACCAGCGUAGUCC